UACGUAGGGGGCGAGCGUUAUCCGGAUUCAUUGGGCGUAAAGCGCGCGUAGGCGGCCGCGUAGGCGGGGGGUCAAAUCCCGGGGCUCAACCCCGGGCCGCCCCCCGAACCGCGCGGCUUGGGUCCGGCAGGGGAGGGUGGAACGCCCGGUGUAGCGGUGGAAUGCGCAGAUAUCGGGCGGAACACCGGUGGCGAAGGCGGCCCUCUGGGCCGGCACCGACGCUGAGGCGCGAGAGCUAGGGGAGCGAACAGG
rnacentral:rRNA from 1 species